CCUACGGGAGGCAGCAGUGAGGAAUCUUGCGCAACGGGGGCAACCCUGACGCAGCCACGCCGUGUGCUGGAAGACGGCCCUAUGGGUUGUAAACAGCUUUUGGUCGGGAAGAACCCGGGGGUUUCGAUCCCCGCUGACGGUACCGAUUGAAUAAGCACCGGCUAACUCCGUGCCAGCAGCCGCGGUAAUACGGAGGGUGCAAGCGUUGUCCGGAAUUAUUGGGUGUAAAGGGUGUGCAGGCGGAAGUCUAAGUCGGAGGUGAAAUCUUGCCGCUUAACGGUAAAAGGGCCUUCGAUACUGGAUUUCUUGAGUUCGGAAGAGGUUGGUGGAAUUCGUGGUGUAGCGGUGAAAUGCAUAGAUAUCACGAAGAACACCGGUGGCGAAGGCGGCCAACUGGUCCGACACUGACGCUGAGACACGAAAGCGUGGGGAGCGAACAGGAUUAGAUACCCUGGUAGUCCACGCUGUAAACGAUGCAUGCUAGUUGUUGUCCCUUUGGGGGCAGUGACGCAGUUAACGCAGUAAGCAUGCCACCUGGGGAGUACGUUCGCAAGAAUGAAACUCAAAGGAAUUGACGGGGGCCCGCACAAGCGGUGGAGCAUGUGGCUUAAUUCGAUGCAACGCGAAGAACCUUAC
rnacentral:rRNA from 1 species